AGGACAAACGCUGGCGGGGUGCAUGAGACAUGCAAGUCGAACGAGGUGCCAUCGGGCUUGCUCGAUGGUUACCUAGUGGCGGACGGCUGAGUAACGCGUAGGUGACCUACCCGGAAGUGGGGAAUAACUGCCCGAAAGGGUGGCUAAUACCGCAUGUGGUCGGCGAUUCGAUUCGCCGUCUAAAGGAGCAAUUCGCUUCCGGAGGGGCCUGCGUCCGAUUAGCUAGUUGGUGGGGUAACGGCUCACCAAGGCGACGAUCGGUAGCUGGUCUGAGAGGAUGAUCAGCCAGACUGGGACUGAGAACGGCCCAGACUCCUACGGGAGGCAGCAGUCGGGAAUUUUGCCCAAUGGACGAAAGUCUGAGGCAGCAACUCCGCGUGAGGGAUGAAGGCUCUCGGGUCGUAAACCUCUUUUCUCAGGGAAGAUCCAAGACGGUACCUGAGGAAUAAGCGACGGCUAACUACGUGCCAGCAGCCGC
rnacentral:rRNA from 1 species